rnacentral:rRNA from 1 species
UGGGGAAUAUUGGACAAUGGGCGCAAGCCUGAUCCAGCCAUGCCGCGUGAGUGAAGAAGGCCUUCGGGUUGUAAAGCUCUUUCAGAGGUGACGAUGAUGACGGUAACCUCAGAAGAAGCCCCGGCUAACUUCGUGCCAGCAGCCGCGGUAAUACGAAGGGGGCUAGCGUUGUUCGGAAUUACUGGGCGUAAAGCGCGCGUAGGCGGUGUGCAUAGUCAGGGGUGAAAUCCCGGGGCUCAACCUCGGAAUUGCCUUUGAUACUGGCACGCUUGAAUCCGUGAGAGGGUGGUGGAAUGACCAGUGUAGAGGUGAAAUUCGUAGAUAUUGGUCGGAACACCAGUGGSGAAGGCGGCCACCUGGCGCGGUAUUGACGSUGAGGCGCGAAAGCGUGGGGAGCAAACAGGAUUAGAUACCCUGGUAGUCCACGCCGUAAACGAUGAGUGCUAGCUGUUGGCCUGCUUGCAGGUCAGUGGCGCAGCUAACGCAUAASCACUCCG